rnacentral:rRNA from 1 species
CCUACGGGAUGCUGCAGUGGGGAAUAUUGGGCAAUGGGCGCAAGCCUGACCCAGCAACGCCGCGUGAAGGAAGAAGGCUUUCGGGUUGUAAACUUCUUUUAAGAGGGAAGAGCAGAAGACGGUACCUCUUGAAUAAGCUACAGCUAACUACCUGCCAGCAGCCGCGGUAAUACGUAGGUGGCAAUCGUUGUCCGGCUUUACUGGGUGUAAAGGGCGGGCAGCCGGUAAGACAAGUCAGAUGUGAAAUCCCGCGGCUCAACCGCGGAAAUGCAUUUGCAACUGUUUUUCUUGAGUACCGGAGAGGUGAUCAGAAUUCCUUGUGGAGCGGUGAAAUGCGUAGAUAUAAGGAAGAACACCAGUGGCGAAGGCGGAUGACUGGACGGCAACUGACGGUGAGGCGCGAAAGCGUGGGGAGCAAACAGGAUUAGAUACCCCUGUAGUC